UAGGGAAUCUUCCACAAUGGACGCAAGUCUGAUGGAGCAACGCCGCGUGAGUGAAGAAGGUUUUCGGAUCGUAAAGCUCUGUUGUUGGUGAAGAAGGAUAGAGGUAGUAACUGGCCUUUAUUUGACGGUAAUCAACCAGAAAGUCACGGCUAACUACGUGCCAGCAGCCGCGGUAAUCGUAGGUGGCAAGCGUUGUCCGGAUUUAUUGGGCGUAAAGCGAGCGCAGGCGGAAGAAUAAGUCUGAUGUGAAAGCCCUCGGCUUAACCGAGGAAUUGCAUCGGAAACUGUUUUCUGAUGCAGAAGAGGAGAGUGGAACUCCAUGUGUAGCGGUGGAAUGCGUAGAUAUAUGGAAGAACACCAGUGGCGAAGACGGCUCUCUGGUCUGCAACUGACGCUGAGGCUCAAAAGCAUGGGUGCGAACAGGAUUAGAUACCCUGGUANUC
rnacentral:rRNA from 1 species